ACAUCCGCUGCUCCUCCUCGUGCACCAGGCGCGUGAAGAUGUUGAUCCUCCUCUUCUCCCUUCGCUUGGUGCGGAAGUAGCCGAACAGGAUGCCGCAAAGGAAGAUUCCGUAGAAAGACAUGACUAUUAAUAUGUAGAGGUUUUUUGCCGCCUUAUGGGUGAAGUUCUCUCCUUCUUUUCGCAACGUGACACCCAAGUGACUAAUCUAAUUCGCCCGGCUGAACUCCACCCAUUCCACCAGACCCAGCCGACGAUAAGAUUGACAUCACUGGGAAUUUACACUUCAAAGCUGCAAUCACGGGCACCCGUCCUCGUGGAACUGCCCGAUGUCGCCGGUGCAGAACCACCGCUGCCCGUCCUCGUCCACAAAGAAGUCCUCCUGGUUCCUGGCCUCGCUCUUGUAGUAUCCCAUGGUGACGUUCGGGCCACCGAUCAGGAUCUCCCCCCGGGGACGCGGCUUGUCUGUGCUGCGGUAACCGCCUGAAAGCAGGGUGCAGCGUCACAGCAUACGAAGCAGACCCCAAAGAGGCAGUAAAACACAGAGAACGGACCCUGAGUCUGAAACAGUCGCUUUUAUAGUUAAAAGCCUGGCGCCGGGUUCACUGCAAAGGUACAGUAUAAAAGAGUGUAAUGAGAUGAUUGUCUAACAAGAUGAGAGCUUGUCUCAUUUUAUUAAGGAUAUGAGGCAGAUCUAAUAACUACUACUGAAAUGAAAAUAUGAAAUAUGGAAACUAAUGCUGGAUAGACUGGUAAAAAAUGUGUGAAGACAUGAUGAAAGUGAUUUAUGUCCCUGUGAACAUUACCGUGUGUGUGUGUGCAUGUGUACUGUAUGUGUGUGUCCCAUGUAUAUGUGUGUGUGCGUUUACAAAUGUGUGUGCGUUUACAUAUGUGUGUGCGUGUAUAUGUGUGUGCGUGUAUAUGUGUGUGUGUGUGUGUGUGUGUGUGUGUGUGUGUGUGUGUGUGUGUGUGUGUGUGUCCCACUCACCCUCCACCCAGUCUUUGAGCUUUAUCUCACAGCACACCAGUGGUCCUCCCACUCUCCCAGUGCUGUAAUCCCACACUGGAGGAGACGACACACACAGUCAGGGAACACACCAGCAUCGCAGCACCACUUUUACCAUAGCAACUCGAUCUCGCUCGCUCCCUCACCAUGGAAACCCUAUCCCAGAGGAAGGUCCGUAGAACGGAGCCUAGCGGGGAGGAUUCCCACUGAUCGACUAUGGAGGACGUUUGCAUUGACGCUAUGGAACAAGUUCUCACUCACAGUACGUCCCAGAUUCUGGGAGGCUAAAACUGUUUCGCUAACAGGGAUCUCUAAGUACGAUCACAUGUUGCUUCUGUUGAUUUUUCCACAGCGCUGAUCCACUUUUUACCUCCUCCCUCCGGUCUCUGCACCCACGCACAUUACACUGUCUACUUAACUUAUCGCGCUACGUUCCUCCCUCCUUGCUGAGCCUUUCCACGUCCUCCCACCGAUUUAUCUGGGCGAAAUCACUUCCUGUUCUUACUCAACAUCGUGCAACUUUUCCCGUCAGGCUAAGGCUUUCAUCUUAUCGAGCUUCUUUUAAAAAGUUUAAUCUGAGAAUAAAUGAGUGUGUCAGAA